rnacentral:rRNA from 1 species
ACGGGUGAGUAAUACAUCGGAACGUGCCCAGUAGUGGGGGAUAGCCCGGCGAAAGCCGGAUUAAUACCGCAUACGACCUACGGGUGAAAGCGGGGGAUCGCAAGACCUCGCGCUAUUGGAGCGGCCGAUGUCAGAUUAGCUAGUUGGUGGGGUAAAAGCCUACCAAGGCGACGAUCUGUAGCUGGUCUGAGAGGACGACCAGCCACACUGGGACUGAGACACGGCCCAGACUCCUACGGGAGGCAGCAGUGGGGAAUUUUGGACAAUGGGCGCAAGCCUGAUCCAGCCAUGCCGCGUGCGGGAAGAAGGCCUUCGGGUUGUAAACCGCUUUUGUCAGGGAAGAAACGGCCUGAUCUAAUAAAUCGGGCUAAUGACGGUACCUGAAGAAUAAGCACCGGCUAACUACGUGCCAGCAGCCGCGGUAAUACGUAGGGUGCAAGCGUUAAUCGGAAUUACUGGGCGUAAAGCGUGCGCAGGCGGCUUUGCAAGACAGAUGUGAAAUCCCCGGGCUUAACCUGGGAACUGCAUUUGUGACUGCAUGGCUAGAGUGCGGCAGAGGGGGAUGGAAUUCCGCGUGUAGCAGUG